UCCCGUUUAGCUCAGUUGGUAGAGCGCGUCACUAGUAAUGACGAGGUCAGUCGUUCAAGUCGGCUAAUGGGAA
rfam:Phanerochaete carnosa HHB-10118-sp unplaced genomic scaffold PHACAscaffold_3, whole genome shotgun sequence.